rnacentral:rRNA from 1 species
GGGCCCCGCACAGCAGCGGAGCAUCGGUUAAUUCGACGCAACGCGAAGACCUUACCAAGGCUUGACAUAUACAGGAAUAUGGCAGAGAUGUCAUAGCCGCAAGUUCUGUAUACAGGUGGUGCAUGGUUGUCGUCAGCUCGUGUCGUGAGAUGUUGGGUUAAGUCCCGCAACGAGCGCAACCCUCGUUCUGUGUUGCCAGCAUUUAGUUGGGGACUCACAGGAGACUGCCGGGGUCAACUCGGAGGAAGGUGGGGAUGACGUCAAAUCAUCAUGCCCCUUAUGUCUUGGGCUGCACGCAUGCUACAAUGGCUGGUACAAAGGGCUGCAAUACUGCAAAGUGGAGCGAAUCCCAAAAAGCCAGUCUCAGUUCGGAUUGGGGUCUGCAACUCGACCCCAUGAAGUCGGAGUUGCUAGUAGUCGUAGAUCAGCAACGCUACGGUGAAUACGUUCCCGGGGCUUGUACACACCGCCCGUCACAUCACGAAAGUCGGUAACACCCGAAGUCAGUGGCCCAACCGUAAGGGGGGAGCUGCCGAAGGUGGGAUCGGUGAUUGGGAUGAAGUCGUAACAAGGUA